UACGUAGGGGGCAAGCGUUAUCCGGAUUUACUGGGUGUAAAGGGAGCGUAGACGGCAGGGCAAGUCUGAAGUGAAAGCCCGGGGCUCAACCCCGGGACUGCUUUGGAAACUGUCCGGCUAGAGUGCAGGAGAGGUAAGUGGAAUUCCUAGUGUAGCGGUGAAAUGCGUAGAUAUUAGGAGGAACACCAGUGGCGAAGGCGGCUUACUGGACUGUAACUGACGUUGAGGCUCGAAAGCGUGGGGAGCAAACAGGAUUAGAUACCCUGGUAGUCCACGCGGUAAACGAUGAUUACUAGGUGUCGGGGGUUAAUAAACCUUCGGUGCCGCAGCAAACGCAAUAAGUAAUCCACCUGGGGAGUACGUUCGCAAGAAUGAA
rnacentral:rRNA from 1 species